GACGAACGCUGGCGGCAUGCCUAACACAUGCAAGUCGAGGGGCACUUCGGUGUCACUGGCGCACGGGUGAGUAACACGUAGGUCAUCUACCCCUAUCACAGACAUAACAGCGGGAAACCGUUGCUAAUAUCUGAUGAGGUCGUGAGAUCAAAGCUUAGGCGGAUAGGGAUGAGCCUGCGGCUGAUUAGCUAGUUGGAGAGGUAAUGGCUCCCCAACGGCGACGAUCAGUAGCUGGUCUGAGAGGACGAACAGCCACACUGGAACUGAGACACGGUCCAGACUCCUACGGGAGGCAGCAGUGAGGAAUAUUGGUCAAUGGGAGCAAUCCUGAACCAGCAAUGCCGCGUGUGGGAUGACGAGGGCUCAGCCUUGUAAACCACUGUCGGACGGGACGAGAGGGUGUUUUUGGCACCUGGGACGGUACCGUCAAAGGAAGGGUCGGCUAACUACGUGCCAGCAGCCGUCGGUAAAGUCGUACGAU
rnacentral:rRNA from 1 species